UGACAGAUGGCUGGAGGAGAUUGAUAUAUACAAAUGGCUGAAGGAGAUUGAAAUAGAAUGCCCUGUAGAGCUCCUACAGAAAGUUUGUCUCUUAGGGAGAGCAAGGAUCAUCAGGAAGGUUCUAAGCAUUUGGAAGACUACUGAAAACUUGUGG